rnacentral:rRNA from 1 species
UACGAAGGGGGCUAGCGUUGCUCGGAAUCACUGGGCGUAAAGCGCACGUAGGCGGGUCGUUAAGUCGGGGGUGAAAUCCUGGAGCUCAACUCCAGAACUGCCUUCGAUACUGGAAAGCUCGAGUCCGGGAGAGGUGAGUGGAACUGCGAGUGUAGAGGUGAAAUUCGUAGAUAUUCGCAAGAACACCAGUGGCGAAGGCGGCUCACUGGCCCGGUACUGACGCUGAGGUGCGAAAGCCAGGGGAGCAAACGGG